UCAUCUUCCAGGAGGGUCUCUGCUGCCUGGGAAACAGCCCUUGCCUCAGGCCUCCCAUCCUGCAGUGUGGCCGCAGGGGUCACAGAGGGUCAUUGACUGUCUUCUGGGUCAUCGUGGCUGGGGUGGCUGAGUCCCGCUGGCUAAGAGGGGGCUCCGCCAGCAGCGGGAGAGGCUGAGGAGCAGCCCCGAGGCCCUCACAGUGCCCUGGGGAUGCCGAGAGGGUGGUGUGCCACUGGGGAGGGGCGGCAAGGCGCAGGCACAGGGAGGGAGGCGGGCCUUCCCGCUGUUGGUCAGGAGCCGGGCGCCUUGGUAGCAAUUGAACAGAGACAUGAAGAGAUGAGGCCAGGAGACACCUGGGGAAGGCUUUCUGGGCAGAGGGAGCAGCUGGUGUGAGGGUCCUGGGCCUGUGGCAAGGGUGGGUGGGGUGGGCAGGACGGGCUUUGAGGGAAGGGUCACUGGUUUGACUCAUGCUUAAGGGGCUCUCUGGCUCUUGGAGCGAGGGAAACUUUAGGGUGGGAGCUGGGAACUACAUUAGCAGCUGUUACUGUGCUCCUGGCAAGAGAAGGCAGAUAGGACUGGGCCAGUGGGUGGGGGGUGAAUGGAUUAGAGGUAGUGGGCUUGAGUAGUAGGGGUCUGUUUUGAAGCUGGAACCAUCUGGAUUUAGACAAGAAGGGAGGACGGUGCAGGGCUGCCCUGUGCCUUGGCAUCCCCAUCUGUACAGGGUUGUGACCCUGCCCCACGUCAUGGACACCAAGAAUGGUUGUAGGCCAACAAAUGGUCACUGUUGUUAUGUUAAAAUGCCCUCACACCCUCCUGAAAUGUAGUCUUCACAUCUGUGCACAGACUUCUUUUUCUCUUCCUUGCAGCCUUUGCCAUCUUGGUUGGGAGGUGUUUGGUGCUUGUUUGGAAGGUGCUCAGUUGGGAGGUGUCUGGUGUGGUUGGAAUGUGCUCAAUUGGGAGGUGCUUAGUGCUUAGUUGGGAGGUGCUGGUGCUUAUUUGGGAAGUGCUCAGUUGGGAGGUGCUUGGUGCUUGGUUGAGAAGUGCUUGUUGCUCAGUUGGGAGGUGUUUGGUGCUUGUUUGGAAGGUGCUCAGUUGGGAGGUGUCUGGUGUGGUUGGAAUGUGCUCAAUUGGGAGGUGCUUAGUGCUUAGUUGGGAGGUGCUGGUGCUUAUUUGGGAAGUGCUCAGUUGGGAGGUGCUUGGUGCUUGGUUGAGAAGUGCUUGUUGCUCAGUUGGGAGGUAUCUGUGUGGUUGGAAGGUUCUCAAUUGGGAGGUGCUAGUGCUUGGUUGGGAAGUACUCAGGAGGUACUUGGUGCUUGGUUGGGUGAUGCUUGGUGCUGUUGGAGGUGCUUGGUGGUUAGUUGGGAGGUACUGGGUGCUUGUUUUGGAUAUGCUUGGUACUCAGUUGAGAGGUAUUGGUGCUUGGUUAGGAGGUGCUUGGUAUUUGAGAAGUGCUUUGUGCUUCAUGCUCACACCCAUGCUGGCAUUUCCUGUAGCAUCCACAGGAGUUGGUCCAUCUCUGGCUCUGGCUUGUCUUAAUUGAAACCUUUCUGAUCUUGCCUUUGAAUUCUCUCCUCAGGUCCUGCUGGGAUCACACCCUGCCCCUGGGGGCAGAGUUGACUUUGUGUUGACACCUUGGGCAGGAUUUCUGAGGCCCCAGUCUCUCCCCUAAGCUCCUCCUUCCCUGGUAAUGUGUCUGAUCGUGAUGCAGCGAAAAUGAUGCUGCAAGUGUCACCCUCAGCAGGGUGAGAACCCUGCACUGUGAUCCUAGGCUGGCUGUCUAGGGUGUGGUUAAGGUCAUGAGUGCCUUCUUUGUCUUCUUAGCACCGCUGCCCAGCAGGGGAGGACUCUAGGCUGGUGCGGAGGGACCACGGGCAGCACCCCAGCCUCGCUAAACACUGGCCUGGUGGUGGCCCUUGGUGUGAGCUUGAGCUGAGUCCUGGGACAGUGGGUUUCGUUCUCCGCCCGGCCACAGACGUGAGGCUGCAGGGGGCAUCACCACCAACCGCCCCAGCCCGUGGGAGGCUCUCCCGUCUCCCUGUGUCUUCUUGUGAUGUCCUCUUCCUGCCUCACAGCUGGGCUCCCUCCUCUGCUGAAGGGAUACUGCCCCAGAUGUCAUUAGGAGGGUCCUCAGUCCUAACGUGCACCCAGGGUGCGUGUGACCAAGAGCCCCACAGGCAGAAGGGCCCGCAGACCCCGGGAUUGGACUUGGGCCAUUUCAGCAUGGCAAGAACAGGCCCAGGCCAGGCGCCUCUGCUGCCAGCAUCAGGUGCCCCUGUGGGGGCAGAGCGGCCCUCUGGCCCCGAGGCUCUGGGGCUGGAGGACAUCAACCCCGCACGGGGACGGGCGAUGGGCGCAUGCCUGUACCAGCCCACGAGGGGCUGCGGUGGCUCCUGGGUCUCCAGCUGCAGCCAGGCUGAAACCCAACCCCUCUUUAAAAUGCAAAAUAGCCCUUCCCUAAAAUAAGACCCAACCACAACCGCACCAGCUGCCCUCUGCGCAGUGCUCUGCCUCGGAAGUCGCUGCUCCUCCGUGGAGCUUGGCGGGCCUCUGGCAGUGUCCAGGCCCUGCACGAGCACGUCCGCACCGGCCGGGCUCUGGGAGCGGGGUGGCCCAUGAGUUCCCCAUUUAAGGAAACCAGCCGGCCUCUGUUAUGAAACCGGGGAAGGAAUUUGAAUUAUGCUCCUCGUGGAGGUCCUGAGCCUGCACUUUUUCCGGCCUUUCCUGCUGGCCUCUGAGGAGCCUUUGGGAGGGCACGAGUACAGGGCUCCAAGAUUUAUUCUCCUGAUACCUUCUGGGCAGCUGGGGGCCGGAGGCUGGGCUUGUUCCAGGCUGCUGGGGUGGGAAACACGCAGGAGGGAAACAUGCCUGCACCAGGCCUGCGGGAGCCUUUGCAGCUGGCCGAGGGCACCUGUGAGCCUCAGGGCCGCGAGAGGUUGACCACCGCCCAAGGCUGGCAGAGGGCAUGUGUCCCAAAGUGGACAGGCCUUGGCCCCAACGAGAAAACCACACUGUGCUCCUGGAGCCGUGAGCGCGCAACACACCUUUCAGAGCCUCAGUUUUCAUUUGUCCCGCUGGAAUAGUAAUUCCCGCUCUCCUGCAUUUUGAAUUGUGGCGAGAAGACUCUUGAGAGUCCUUUGACCACGAGGAGAU
rnacentral:lncRNA from 1 species